UACAGCUUUUUUCUGAGAUGGUGGGUUAGUCCCGCACGAGCCCACCCUUGAUUUUUAUUGCCAUCAUUAAUUGGGCAUUCUAAGGUGUUGCCUGUUAAUGCAAGGAAGGUGGGGAUGACGUCAAGUCAUCAUGCCCCUUAUGACCUGGGCUACACACGUGCUUCAAUGGAGAGUACAAAGGGCUGCGAAACCGCGAGGUGGAGCUUAUUAUAGAAGAUCCGUUCUCAGUUCGGAUUGCAGUCUGCAACUCGCCUGCCAUGAAAAGUCUA
rnacentral:rRNA from 1 species